UUACGGCUAUAUCACGUUGAAACAUCGGCUCUCGUCCGAUCAUCUAAGUUAAGCAACGUCGAGUCUGGUCAGUACCUAGAUGGGUAACUGCUUGGGAAUGUGCAAGUGAUGCA